rnacentral:rRNA from 1 species
GAUGAACGCUAGCGGCAGGCUUAACACAUGCAAGUCGAGGGGCAGCAUGAGACGGAGAUUCGUCGAAGUCUUGAUGGCGACCGGCGCAAGGGUGCGUAACGCGUGAGCAACUUGCCCGUUUCAGGGGGAUAACCGUUGGAAACGACGACUAAUACCCCAUAGUAUCGUGAAGAGGCAUCUCUUUAUGAUUAAAGAAUUUCGGAAACGGAUAGGCUCGCGUGACAUUAGCUAGAUGGCGGGGUAACGGCCCACCAUGGCAACGAUGUCUAGGGGUUCUGAGAGGAAGGUCCCCCACACUGGAACUGAGACACGGUCCAGACUCCUACGGGAGGCAGCAGUGAGGAAUAUUGGUCAAUGGACGAGAGUCUGAACCAGCCAAGUAGCGUGCAGGAAGACGGCCCUCUGGGUUGUAAACUGCUUUUAGUUGGGAAUAAAAAGAGGGACGUGUCCCUAAUUGUAUGUACCAUCAGAAAAAGGACCGGCUAAUUCCGUGCCAGCAGCCG